UCCGGCUUAGAACCGGCAGUUCCGUUAAAGUGCCCAGCCAAACCUGAUGGCAACUAACAGUAAGGGUUGCGCUCGUUGCGGGACUUAACCCAACAUCUCACGACACGAGCUGACGACAGCCAUGCAGCACCUGUGCAAACCCGGCCGAACCGAGCCUAUCAUCUCUGAUAGGUGUAAUUUGCAUGUCAAGAGCGGGUAAGGUUCUGCGCGUUGCUUCGAAUUAAACCACAUACUCCACCGCUUGUGCGGGUCCCCGUCAAUUCCUUUGAGUUUUAAUCUUGCGACCGUACUCCCCAGGCGGAAUGUUUAUCGCGUUAGCUUCGACAUCGACCCUUGCGGGCCAACACCUAACAUUCAUCGUUUACGGCGUGGACUAC
rnacentral:misc_RNA from 1 species